rnacentral:rRNA from 1 species
CUGGGCUUAAGCGUGUGUAGGCGGACUUGUAAGUACCUUGUGAAAUCCCACGGCUCAACCGUGGAACUGCUUGGUAUACUGCUUGUCUUGGGCCAUCUAGGGGUUACCGGAACAAACGGUGGAGCGGUGAAAUGCGUAGAUAUCGUUUGGAACGCCAAUGGUGAAAACAGGUAACUGGGGAUGUGCCGACGCUGAGACACGAAAGCCAGGGGAGCGAACGGGAUUAGAUACCCCGGUAGUCCUGGCUGUAAACGAUGUCGACUAGAUCGCAGUGGCUCUGACGCUAUUGCGGUCGAAGCAAAAGUGCUAAGUCGACCGCCUGGGAAGUACGGUCGCAAGGCUAAAACUCAAAGAAAUUGACGGGGGCUCACACAAGCGGUGGAGCAUGUGGUUCAAUUCGAAGCAACGCGCAGAACCUUACCUGGGCUUGACAUGCUAGGAUUAUCCCUGUGAAAGCAGGGUAGGCCCUUCGGGGUACAACUAGUACAGGUGCUGCAUGGCUGUCGUCAGCUCGUGUCGUGAGAUGUCGGGUUAAGUCCCUUAACGAGCGAAACCUUUGCCCUUAGUUACUAACGGGUUAUGCCGAGGACUCUAAGGGGACUGCCGGUGUCAAACCGGAGGAAGGUGGAGAUGACGUCAAGUCCUCAUGGCCUUUAUGCCCAGGGCCACACACGUGCUACAAUGGCGUCCACAAAGCGAACCGAGAGCGCAAGCUGGAGGAAAUCGCACAAAUGACGCCCCAGUUCAGAUCGGAGGCUGCAACUCGCCUCCGUGAAGUUGGAAUCGCUAGUAAUCGCGGAUCAGCUACGCCGCGGUGAAUGUGUUCCUGAGCCUUGUACACACCGCCCGUCAAGUCAUGGGAGCCGGAAAUAGCCGAAGUAGCCUCACCACU